UACGUAGGGGGCAAGCGUUGUCCGGAAUCAUUGGGCGUAAAGCGCGUGUAGGCGGCCCGGUAAGUCCGCUGUGAAAGUCCAGGCUCAACCCUGGAAUGCCGGUGGAUACUGUCGGGCUCGAGUCCGGAAGAGGCGAGUGGAAUUCCUGGUGUAGCGGUGAAAUGGCGCAGAUAUCAGGAGGAACACCGAUGGCGAAGGCAGCUCGC
rnacentral:rRNA from 1 species